UUACAUAUUGCGACUCCCAUUUUGCUCCAAUUUUCAAUAUUUUUUCAACAGUUUUCUUAAUUCUAGCAAUAUUUAGUUUUGACAUAUUUAUUAUUGGUUAUAAUUUUAAAUUUGCAAUACUUAUCGAACGUUUCUCGAUAGGGUAAAAAUUAUGAGUACCAAAAGUUAUAUUCCGAGUAUUAAAAAUAUAUUUUCAAAAGGAUAGGGAUAAGAUAGAAUAAGAAUUGGAUAUUAGCGCUAACUCUUGGGUGCUUUUAGAAAAAUGAUUUUUUGAAAAAGUAUCUUUGACGUUCGAAAGAUGGUGCUGACGAGUAAUUCUCUAUCUCUAUCCUUUUCUCGUUAUCUAUUCUUCUUGUCUGUAGUUGUUCCACAAAGAGACGAUUUCGAAUAUUUGAUUAACCUUAUUAUUUUCUUUAUUUAAUCUGUUGCAAUUCAUGUACGAAUUUGUCUACUAUUCGUAGCAAUUGAAAAAUUCAUAUAUACAAUUCGAUACGUGGCAAUGCAUGGGAAUGUCUUUCAAAGGAUGCAUCAUAAUAAAUCUGUCGAUAUUAACAUUAACUUUUUUGAAUCGAAUCGAAUUCAACUAAUUUUCCACACAAUUUCAAGAUACGAGAUAAAAUUUCACCAAAUAUUUUAUCUGUUUUUGUACUCGAAUGAUCUACGAAUUUAACAUAGAUCAAAGACCGAAUAUCUAUAUACAUCCAUCCAUGAUAUAUGGCAUCUCAUUUCGAUAAGGAACGCGAUAAGGUUUAUCGAGGAGGCGUGAUUCGCCACGCGUCGCGCUCGUGUUUUCAUCGUCCAACGAUGAUUACGCUCUCGUUUCUCGUAUAAAAUUCUUCGGGAAAUCGUUAAAAAAUUCAACUGGAGCUUUUCAUGAUGUUGAAAGCUAUCGGAGUGGCCUUUCUUUCGGAUCGUAGCUGGUCGUUCCAACAGAACGGAGCAUAUCAUUUCAGUUAAGGAGAAAUUAUUUUGGUUAUACGAUUGGCAAUUAUUAUCUCACUACUGUCAGAGGUUAGUUCUGAGACGAUCAAACGUUAUCGUAAGACGUUCGCAAAAUUGUGGUGAACGAGCGUAGAAAGCAACGAGGGGAAGUGAGUCCAUUAUUGAUCUCGUCAGCGUAAAUCGAUCAUGCCUCGAUCUUGAAAUUGGAAAAAAACAUCAGGGAUCGGACAGGUGCGGAUAAGAGCCGAUGAUAGAGGAGGGCUGCGAUGGCGUCGAAGCCAAAAACGAACUUGUCAUUAAGUCGUACUCGUUCAGUGAGAAUUGCACAGGUUCGAUGUUUGUCUCGUUUCUUCGAGUUUUGCUUGAUUUCGAAACGAACGAUCGGAGCGACGAAUCGUCGGCACGUUGAUCUCGGCCCUCCCGGACCAAUUGAAGUCGAUACUCACGGAGGCCGAAGUCGAGCAAUUUGCAUCCAG
rnacentral:misc_RNA from 1 species